CAGGUUGGUAUUCUGUUUAUUCAUUUGGUUUAAAAUGAGGGAACAUUGGUUCCAGGUGAGAUGCUCCCUCACCUCAAGCUAUUGACACAGUGCCUGAAAUUUGGUACUUAAGCAGGGACAGGCAUACUGAAAAAAAAAACAAGAAAAACAUUGGUGUAGUUAAAUUCUUAGUCCUCUGAUAACAUAGGAGACAUGAGGGGGAAAAGGACCUGUUUGGGUUUUGGUUGUUCCCUCUCCCCUCUUUUUUUUUUUUUUUUCUUUUUUGUUAAAUUGCACUUUGUAGUACGGAGUGUUUUCACCUUACAACUCCAAAAACUGAUUGGAAAGAACAAUUUUUCAGACAGUGGGGAAUUCAUGUAGGUUGAGCAGAUAGUAUUAUCCAGGUGGAAAAGCAAGUACUGAGCAUCUCAAAAAAGUUUCCUUAAAAUUACAGGAAGUGUACUUUACGUAACUCCAGAGCUAGUAAUAGAAAAGAAAAAAGAAGUAGGGAGAAAUCAGCCAGUUAGAAUUACAAAAAAAAAAAAAAGACAGAACUUAAUAUUAUUUCAUGAUUGUGCCAGCAUUAUGCAAGCAAAGGACAGCAUCUUGUAAGUUAGAAACCACAGGACGGCCGUGUUGCCUUGGCUGCACAGAGAAAAGUGGAGGAAACUGUAAAUACGAUUGUAUACAAGUUUCCCUUCCCCUUCUGCCACAUCCAACAUAAAAGAAGUAAUCCAUAACAGCAUUUAGUAUCACACAGCCUCUUAGUAUAUUUAGCUUUUUAGGCAAGCAGCCCAUCACUCUACAAACUGGACAGUGCUCAGGGAUGGGGGUGUUCCAGCAGAUCCCCAUCUUGUUAAAUUGAGCUCAAUCAAGCCCAGGUGAAAAUGCUUGUUCUUCAAAACAGUAUGCAGAGACAUAGCAGUCCAGCUCCUGUGGCCUUUUGGCUGCCCCACCUACCCCAGGGGAAGCUUCUGGAGGCACUUGGUUGGAAACGUUGGAUUUACUACCCUCCAGCUUCCUCUCCUUAAAAUGGGUCUGGUUUGGUUUUGUGAUGCAGACAGGACGUGGCUGGCUUGGUGAGCUUGCUCGUAACCAGCAUGGGCAUCUUCCAGAGAGCCAAAACCUGGGGCAAGGAGGCGGCGUGCGAGAGGAAUCAGGACGGCGCAGCAUGGCCGGGCUGAGCAUUCAGGGGCAUUUUGAGAAAAGUCAACAAAAGCUCUCCGGUGUUUGUGUACUGUGAGGUGCUGAAGGCCAUCUCUGCAGCGCCCUUCUGCACAGCUGUCUCUGCCCACUAUACUGUUAUGCUGGCCUAUGUGGAGAGAGCAACACAAACAUAGUGACUACCAGAGAUGUAAGCACCCAAGGAAAAUUUAAAGUUAAGCCCUAUGAACAUUUGUAAUGGAAAUGCUGCCUCUGAACUGGACAACUUUGUACUUUCUGCAAGGAGCUGCUGAAGAGUGUUGGUGGGGAAGUACCUGCUCCUGCCUCAGCCCAGCGCUUCCCUCGGAAGAGGGCAGGGGCUGGAGCAGCAGCCUGGGGUGCCUGUCUGCAGGCUUGGCUGCAGCAGUCGGGAUGGCCCUGCUGCCCUUGGUACUGCUGUAGAGAUCUGUGGUCUCCUAUCUCGGCCAGUCUUGCUGCAGAUCUGGCCGGACGCAGCAAAGGAGUGAAGCCAUUUGUGCAGAAAAUAGCCAUCAGCCACAAGAGAAGGUAUCGUGGAAACUUCUGAUAGUUAACCACAAAGUGUUUCAAAUAAAAUGUACAGUACUGAAAAACGGGCUGAUGUGUGCAUGUCUGACACCUUCUGUGAAAAAGAGCUUGCAGCAAGAAAUUGUGCAACUGAACAAGAAGAUGAGAUCCUCCACACGAUAGAGAGGAUAAGCCAAGCCAGAUACGGCCACUUUGUGGGCAGGGGUUGGAAGGAGCUGGGGAACUGAGCUGCUCAGCACGGACAGACGUGUGAGAAGGGAUAGGCGCAGGGGAGGAGUUGUGCUUAUGGCUCAAAGUUAUCGAAUGAGCAAAAAGUCCAUGAUAACAUCAUCUGAAGGCAGAUGGAUCAGUUUACUGAGAGCAGAAAGUAUUUUAAAAAGAUACAGUGAUGCAAUGGAUUAAAAUGCUAGCAAUUUCAUAUUCUUGUCAUAAUAACACAGGUUAACCAAUAGUUAUGAACAGCUGUAAAACAUGACAAAAUGAAGCCAAGAGAAAAAGACUAUGAAAUACAUAUCAUUUCUAUAAGACCUUGGAGACCUUUUCACCAAUACCUGUAAAUUACUGUUUGGAUUUUGAGAAUUCAGUUGAAUUGUUAGAUGUUAUUAUUGUGAUCGUCAUGGACAGAGCAAUGAUACUUCCAGGUAACCUGGUGUCCAUAGACUCAUCUUUCCAAGCUAUGUAUGGGUUGUUCCUUAUGAACAUCUCUUAUUUAGCCUUUCACUCUUAAAAAUUAGCUUUUUAAGGCCCAGGUUAGUUUUACAUCUCUCAGGAUACAGUUUGUACUGGUUUCCAGAAGACGAAGUGCAGGCCAGAAACUGUUCCAUAGAAUUUUGCUGAUUUCACUUAGGAGGGAUAAAAGAGACUUGAAAAAUGUGAUGUGGAUCCACUGGUGAAAGAGGGAUAGGCCUUUGAGAGGAGAUUUUCAAGAAUUCGGGGUUUCACAGAGGCACUUAUUUAGCAAGCAACCAAAAACCAUGGAAGUUUCAUCCUCCAAACCAGAAUGUGUAGGAUUUCUAUUUGUACACGUUACUAGUCAUUUGGAGUACCACAGACAGCCCACAUACAUCACCAUUCCCAGGAAUAAAUACUUCCAGAAUUGAGAUUUCAUUUUGUACUGCUUUGCUUUCCUGGAGAAGAGGAGUUUUCCUUCGCUUGCUCACAUAACAGCCAGUAAGUGCAAGUCUUUUUUCAGGCUGUAAUAAACAACCCAUGAGGCUGAGUUGGCCUCAGCGAGUUGUCACUUUCCUCAUGAAUUUAUUUUGGUGUUUCUCUUUCUUUCCCUUUCUCUUUUUCUUUCCAUUGUUUCCGCCCUUUUCCCCCUGUUUUUCUCCCCUUUCUUCCCCCUUCUUUUCUUUCUUACUAUUACUAGAGAAUUGAAGAGUUGCCUUAAGAUUACAUGAGCAUGGAAGGAGGGUACACUCACUGCAGUGACAAGUGAUGAAGUGCAGAUGAGCUCCAGUAGUAACUUGGGUUUAGGACAGGGGGUCAGCAAGUCCUGACAACUUUCUCACACUCCUUUCCUCUGGGGCACUGAAUAAGUUGCUUUUCUGCCUCAGUUUCUCUAUCUGUAAAAAUGUAAGAACAGCGUGAUGAUGAUAAUUGGCUUCCCCCAAAGGGGUUGAGUGAAUUAAUUAGUUAAUAUCUUUAAAAUGCUUUGAAGAUGAAAAGUAUAGUGUUGAUAUAGCCCUGCUGAGAAUCUAGGACCAAGCAUUCAUAUUAAUGAGAGUAUGAUUUUGGAAGUUCAGCACGACAUGCAGUAAAAAAAAAAAAAGAAAAAAAAAGUGUAUUUAUAGUGGUGCAUUUAGUUAAUAUUCAUGGCUUUGUUCUCUGCUCAUAAGUUUGCAGCAAGAACAUGAAGAUGGGAGAGAGAGUAAGGGAUUAUUGUAGAACAGGGCAGAAUACAUGUUGUGGACUAAUCCAACAAGUCAUUUUGCCACCAUAAAACCAUCUUCAGACAGCUGCAAAGAUUUUCAUGUACUGGAGCUGGAACAGGAGAAAAGGAACAGAUCUUGCUAGAUCUGCUGCUAUAAUAAUAAUCCGUUUUCCCUUCCAGGCAAAGCCACAGGGCUAGACCUUGCUUGUUGUGGUGUUUAGUCACCUUUGCACUUUAUCUUACCUGCAAAUCUCAGGCUGGGAAUCAAAUUGCAGCCCUCCUCAGCAGGCUUCUUGUAGCUGGGCUGCCUGCUGGAGAGAGUGAAAAGAAUUUAGGCAAAAGAAUGAAAAAAGGCUGGAUUGCUUAAUCAUGAAGCAGCGCCAGGCUGAUGUAGGAUGCCGCUGUCUGUUAUAUCUCCAGGCAGCAUCAGGCUGAGGGUGAGGUCGUCUUGUAAUUUGGUGUCCUUCACUAAUGCACUCAGGAGGACGUGUGUAAACAGAGCAAGUGCAUUAUAUGCCUAUUCAUUGUUUAUUUCUAAAGAGGCCUAAUUUUUUCCUCAUGUUUAUUUUCUGAGUAAGAAUUACUGUGCUCAACAGUGUAAUUGUGCAUAAAAGAAAAAAAAUACCCUCGAGAACAUGUAAAAGUAAAAAUUGGGAUAUCGUUCCUCUAACUCUUCAGCUGUAGUCAUAAACCCAAAGUUCUAAGUUCUAACUUUUCUUAAUGGCUUGUGUGUUUGGGCAAUGUGUAUAGUAAAUCAAUUAUUCAAAUGAAUAAAUUAAUGUCAGUGGAUUGGAGCUCUGCAUUCCCUAAAGUUUUUCCAUUUUAUAGCUCCAUUUCAUCAUCUUCAGCACCUGUGUCUUUGGAAUGUAUUGCAAUGUGACAUCAGAUAUUUUAUGAAAUAAGCCACUUUUUUUUUUCUUUUUAGCUCCUAACAUAUAAGAGCAUUGCAUUCCAUAAUAAAAUACACUCAUUUGCCACAGAAAGAAUUGAAUUAGAUAUUCAAAUAUCAGUACAGUGUGCUAAAGGAAGUUAUAUACUAUCAGUUUUAGAUCUCUCUAUUCUAUUGCAUUAUUAUUUAAGAAAGGAACAUAGGAGGAUUAUGCCAAAGCCAUACCUGUCUAUACAGAAAAAGUCAUUUUUUCCUUUUUUUUUUUUUUUAAAGAUUGAAGACUUUUCAACAAAACACCAGCGGAAUAAAGAAAUCCUUUAGUGAGAGGCACUCACCGGGGAUUAGCUGUGAGUGGACUGAACAACUCGGUGGCUCCCUGGCGGGGUGACCUCUGACUCCCGGGUCGGAUGGCGACUCAUCUCGUGCCUCCUGGCUGAAGCAAGCUGAGGGCUCCCAACAAGUGUUUUCUCCGUCCUCACCGGUUUCCCUCCAUGCAGCGAUGGGCAGUGCCGAAGAUGAGCUCUGUGUUAUCACAGCUGCUAUUCCACAAAAGCGGGGGAAAAUGAUAAAGUAUAUAGAAUAUCAAAGGCUACGGUAACUGUUAUUGGAAGGAAACCGUAACCUCUUUUACCACCUAAAGGGACCUGUCUGCUUUCCUCCUCUGUAACUUCAGAGCUGCUUUUCCAGCAGGGGUUUUCCCCACAUAGCAGCAGUGCUUCAAUGCACUGAGGAGUUAAAAGGCGGCAAGAGUGGCUUUUGGAAACCUUUCUGCUAUGGAUGGUAACUCUACCCAGGCCUGAUGGUAUCACGGAUGCUGUGGUGGUGGCAGAGAAAGGUUUCAAGGGAGCCGCUUGCACAAGCUCUAACUGCUAUGUCUGAAUUGAACCCAUUUACUUCAGCUAGGAAGUUAAAGCAAUGUGAUUGGGAGGCAAAACACAGUAAGAAGAGAAGCCAAAAAUUAAACUGAAACCUUACAUGUAACGGAGGUCAGAUUUUGUGUGUAAGGCUAAUAUGUAGAUGAGUAUCACUGAACAAAUGAGUUAUGCAGAUUAACUCUGCCUUUGAGAAAAUUGGUUAAAUGCUAUGCUAUCCACUGUUUUACACAGUCUUUGAAAUCCUGGCUGUUUUACAAAGCAGUCAACUGCAUCUUUUAUCAGGUUAUCAAGGGCUUGGAUCAAUUCAUGAUGAAUAAGUGUCCAACCUACUCUAUUGAAAGCUCUGUCAGUCAUUGUAGUAUACCGGUAGGUUUUCAAGAAACAGCUGUGGAAAAGGAACCUUUCCCUCGUAGCUAUUGUUGGAGAAAAAGUAACAAAUCGCUUUCAUUGUUGGAAGGGAGUGUUGGCUCACACAAAGUCAGGUUAAGUGAUGUGUGUUAUUUUUUAUGUGAAUAAACUGGAUGGAGUUAGGCAAACCUCCAGUGUAUUAAAGCAUUGCACCUUAAAAUGA